AAAAAGAUUGAGGCCAUGGUAGC
rnacentral:miRNA from 1 species